rnacentral:rRNA from 1 species
GAUGAACGCUGGCGGCGUGCUUAACACAUGCAAGUCGAACGAUGAAGCCCAGCUUGCUGGGUGGAUUAGUGGCGAACGGGUGAGUAACACGUGAGUAACCGGCCCUUAACGCUGGGAUAAGCCUGGGAAACUGGGUCUAAUACCCGAUAGGAGCGUGCACGGCAGGGGGGGUGUUGGGAAGAUUUAUCGGUUUUGGAUGGACUCGCGGCCUAUCAGCUUGUUGGUGGGGUAAGGGCUCACCAAGGCGACGACGGGUAGCCGGCCUGAGAGGGUGACCGGCCACACUGGGACUGAGAGACGGCCCAGACUCCUACGGGAGGCAGCAGUGGGGAAUAUUGCACAAUGGGCGCAAGCCUGAUGAAGCGACGCCGCGUGAGGGAUGACGGCCUUCGGGUUGUAAACCUCUUUCAGUAGGGAAGAAGCGAAAGUGACGGUACCUGCAGAAGAAGCACCGGCUAACUACGUG